rnacentral:lncRNA from 1 species
GCGCAUUUAAAUCAACACAUGUAUCUACAAUCUACACAAUAUAAAACGCUUAAGCGGAAAUAUAGUUACAUAUUGAUUUGUGUGUAACAAUUAGCUGACUCUGUAAAUAGUUUUAAAAAACGACAGAAUAUGAUUCUUGUAUGUAAUAGAAAGUGCUGACGUCAACCGAAUAUUCUGGUGUGUGAUGUCAUCUUCAGCUGCUUAUUAGUUCUAUUGAUUUUAACAGUUUGUAGAAACCAUUAAAUCAGCUGAUCCAGAGAGGUAAGAUCAUAUGCUUUUUGAAAAAUCAUAUUUUACAUACUACAUGUACAUUGUAUGUCUGAAAUUAACUAGCUAGUAUCCUUUAUAAAUUACGUUAAGGAACAGUACACAUGUGUAAGUAAGUAUCAUUGUUUCCAUCUAAUUGUUAUUGCUACAACUUGUGCGUCUGUAAUGUAUGUAUUGUGUAAAUGUGUACUUAUAUGGAGUAAGUAUUGAUACAAGAGAUAGUUUUGAAGGGACAUUACUCAGAAGUAUAACAGCAGAAGACUCAACGAUUGGGACGACGACGGUUGCAAGGGAUGAGGGUCACGACCUUGACUACCCUUGCGCGGCCAGCCCUUCCGAUUGUAUUGAAGUAAAAAAAGGAAAGUAAUAUAUGUAAUCAAUGACAUUUAUCAUGUGGUCUUUAACAAUGGAAAAUAGUUGACAUAAGACAAUUUGUAUAAUAGAAAGUAUAGAGAGUUCUAGCUUGUACUCAUCACUAAAAUGAAUAAAGGGAAAAUAACCAUACUUUGAAAUGCCAAACAAAUCCCAAAAAAUCGGAAAAAAUUAAAUGAGUUUAAAAUAUGUAAUAUGCUGGCAGACAGUAACAUGAUUUGGUUCUUAUCAGAAUGAGCAUUCCCUUUCUAUUUAUUUUUAUAUUUGUUAUGUUUUAUUGAAAGGGGCAUUAUAGGUACGAUUUAGACACAUCUUAAAAUUAAACUUUUUAGAACAUUUAUAAAAGCGCGGAAUAUUGAAGAAUGUUUCGCUAUUCGAUGUAAAUUUGAUUCACUUUUGUCAAGUAAGCUCAAAGUUAUUGCUGUUGAAUUAUUGGCUUGCAAGUACGUGACAAUAAACCUGGGAAUAGUAUGCUGACAAUAAAAUUAUUAUACCCCAUGAUAAAUCCAUUAAUUCUGUUAAAAUUAUUUAUCUCAGAUCGAAAAACAGAAAAAUAAGUAAAGCUAACUUGCUGCAGACUUGCAGCGUACACAGAGUCUGUAUUUGCGGCAUGUUUGCUGCAAAUACGGGGAGAAAUUUAUAAUUUUCAUGUGAAUUUGCUGCAGGUCUGCUAGAAACAAUUUAUCGUGCAAAUGAGGGUUUGCUGCAGACCUGCGGCAAACAUUUAUAUUCGAAUUAAGCUUUCUCCUGCGUGUUUGCUGCACACUUGCAGGAACUACAUACAUUAUACAAUUAGCUAAUGUCAUGCUGUGUACACACCACAUUAUCUAUAUGACAAAAAAGAUUGUGAAAAAGUUAGGUAACAUACAUACAUACAAUAUUCAAAUACUUUAUCAUUUGCAAAAUACAAAGAUAUAUGACGCUCUUAAUUUUGAUCACGAGAAACAUUUGUUUUGUUGUUGUUCGAGUACGUGAUCGAAUUACAUGCAUGGAUAUCUAAAAUACAAAAAAAAGUGUAUUUGUGGAGGGGACGAAUUUCAUAUGUUUACACUUGAAUUUAUACUUACAAAUAAUGUCUUUAAAACUAGAAUUUUAAUUUCCAACUUUAAAUGCUCCCUGAAAACUAAUACAUUGUAUGAUAACAUGACUCAAACACCUUCAAUAUUCAAAUUUCAAAUAUUUAUCUUCCAGGCAAUUACCAAUAGGCAUGCUUUGUCAAUUUAUGUAGUUCUUGCAAUGCUCUUGCAAACAUAUAGAAUUGUCAAAGAUUUCUGCAAUCUAGCUUAUCCCUUAUAUUCUAGAUUUUCCUUCAAGUGUACUGAAAACAUAAUUGUUUCUGCAAACUUGUCGCAAGCUUGCAGCAAAAUGCUGCAAUGUUUGCAUGAGGUUCGCAGUCACUGCAAACAUUACUCAAAGGGUCCCUGCAAGCUUUUUGUUUGAAGCAAACCUGCAGCAAGUCUGCUGCAGACGUGCUGCAAACAUUUCAGUACGUGAGGGCAUGAUUUUUUUUAAUAGAUAUUAAUUAACAAACCAAUGGAAUAUUCAUUUAAGUUAUGAAUUUUCACUAAAACUUUUACCAUUUAUAGAAUAUGAUCAAUAUAGCGUUAUAUUUUGUUCAACAUUUAUGCUAAUUUUAUAUAACAUGUUUGCACCAAAUUAGGAAUGCACAUACAUAAAUCAGUAUCUAAAGUGUAUUGAAAACAAGUGCCUUUCUUAAAAAAUAAAGCAAUAUGUAAAUCGGAGAAAGCUGUUUGUAAUCACGCUUAGGGGGAAAAGGGGGGGGGAUUUAUAAUUUUCAUGUGAAAUGUGACUCUGUAACAUGCAACUUAUGUAUUUGAGAGGAACACACGAGCUUCCUUAAGUCCUCUUACAUACUGACAAUUUAUUGUGUUUAAAUUCCUAAAACAUCUCAAAUUUAAGGAUUUCCUGAAGUUACUUUAAGCAAUUUAUUUAUGCACAUUAAUCAGACUAUAAUGCAAACUGACUUUGGAAUUUAUAUUGUGAUUGGUCUUUGCUAUUUGCUUUAGACGUCAAGUUUCUUGAAACUGGGAAAUGCAAUAGGAUAAGAACUUUGUAUAUUUAACACGAAGAAAAUGAAAUACACUCCUUAGUAAUAAAUAAGAUAAUAGAUUCAAGGGUAAAUUCAAACGGUAGCUGUUACGGUGUACACAUUUUGUUUUAAAUUUCCACUUAAAUCCAAAAUUGAUUUUAAUUUAAUUUUGCAAAUAUCUACACAAAAAUACGCAUUUCCAAUAACCAUCGGGUCUUUUACCAUCAGCAUGGCCUUAUCUAUUCACAUUAAAAACAUUAAACAAAAAAGCAAUUUUGUUAGUGACCCGCAUUCUUGUUUUCACGAUUUCUUUUAUGAAAGGAACUUAUUUAAGACUGUGACUUGAAAUUCAUCUCUUUACCAUUACACGUGCAUGUCCGUUUAUUUAAAUUUAUAUUUUUGUUGAUAUCGGGUAGUAUGACCAUCGACAGUCUUCAGAGGUCGCAUCGAAGGUUAAUGAAAUGGCGUCUAUUUAUUUUUUUAAAUGCACGAAAUGUUGAUAGAUUAUAACGAGUCCACGUAUUGUUAAACGUUUUUUUUUUAACUUUUGUCAAUUGGACAUACGUUUAAGAAUUUUAUAAUUUAGGUCAAGCCGUUGAUCAUGAUAUCGACAGUUAAUGCCCCUUGAAGUUUUAACGAGUGACGUACUUAUCAACAGAUUUUAAUGAAAUGCUUUCUUUGUAUAAAAUGUACAAUUCAUAAAGCAUUUUAGAAAGUAAAGACUGACUUUAUUAAAAACACUCAGGGUUACCAUAUACGUUCGGUUUGGUCUUCUGUUUGAAAAUGUUUACAUUUAAACUAGUAGGUUUAUUCCAUUCAUAUCAUUUCAAUAAUCGUUUAAUUCCUUAUGUUAGAGCAUUCGUAUAUUGGUUUUCAAUAAAAUAUAAUUUAAUCGCUGAAAGACCCCUCUCCUAAGUUAUUGAAAACUAUCGUUUUGCAUUGACAAAAAUGUUUUGGUGUAAAUGCCCCCAAGGUGUAUCUUUUAUACAUUUUUGCAGUACAAACGCAGUCAAGUUAUUGUGUGAUCAAGUAUAUAUCAACGAUCGAAUAAACAGUUUCAGACAUGAAUGGCAAAGAAAAAGGAGUAAGU